ensembl:snRNA U1 U1 spliceosomal RNA
AUACUUACCUGGCAGGGGAGAUACCAUGAUCAUGAAGGUGGUUUUCCCAGGGCGAGGCUUAUCCAUUGCACUCCGGAUGUGCUGACCCCUGCGAUUUCCCCAAAUGUGGGAAACUCGACUGCAUAAUUUGUGGUAGUGGGGGACUGCGUUCGCGCUUUCCCCUG